rnacentral:misc_RNA from 1 species
AACUAUCAAAACACUUUUCUUGGGUGUUUUGGACUUUGGGAGUGACUUGCUGGCCUGUUUGAGCCAGCUCUCCUCAAAAGCAUUAGCUUUGGAGACCAUCAGUGUGAUAAUUUGUUUACACUGACUCGAGUGUCUCGGCUUAAAUGCCC